CUUUGUGAAAUGACUUGAGAGGUGUAGUAUAAGUGGGAGCCGAAAGGCGAAAGUGAAAUACCACUACUUUUAACGUUAUUUUACUUAUUCCGUGAAUCGGAAGCGGGGCACUGCCCCUCUUUUUGGACCCAAGGCUUGCUUGCAGGCCGAUCCGGGCGGAAGACCAUG
rfam:Nicotiana attenuata strain TT chromosome 12, whole genome shotgun sequence.